rnacentral:rRNA from 1 species
UACGGAGGGUGCAAGCGUUGUCCGGAUUUAUUGGGUUUAAAGGGUGCGUAGGCGGCUUAUUAAGUCAGUGUUUAAAGUCUGCAGCUUAACUGUAGGAAUGGCAUUGAUACUGAUGAGCUUGAGUAAAGUUGAGGUAGGCGGAAUUGAUGGUGUAGCGGUGAAAUGCAUAGAUAUCAUCAAGAACAUCGAUUGCGAAGGCAGCUUACUAAGCUUUAACUGACGCUGAGGCACGAAAGCGUGGGGAUCAAACAGG